GGGGAAUAUUGCACAAUGGGCGCAAGCCUGAUGCAGCGACGCCGCGUGGGGGAUGACGGCCUUCGGGUUGUAAACCUCUUUCAGUCACGACGAAGCGCAAGUGACGGUAGUGACAGAAGAAGCACCGGCCAACUACGUGCCAGCAGCCGCGGUAAUACGUAGGGUGCGAGCGUUGUCCGGAAUUACUGGGCGUAAAGAGCUCGUAGGUGGUUUGUCGCGUUGUCCGUGAGAACUCACAACUCAAUUGUGGGCGUGCGGGCGAUACGGGCAGACUAGAGUACUGCAGGGGAGACUGGAAUUCCUGGUGUAGCGGUGGAAUGCGCAGAUAUCAGGAGGAACACCGGUGGCGAAGGCGGGUCUCUGGGCAGUAACUGACGCUGAGGAGCGAAAGCGUGGGGAGCGAAC
rnacentral:rRNA from 1 species